rnacentral:rRNA from 1 species
GACGAACGCUGGCGGCGUGCUUAACACAUGCAAGUCGAACGGUGAACCUCUUCGGAGGGGAUCAGUGGCGAACGGGUGAGUAACACGUGGGCAACCUGCCCCCGGCUCUGGGAUAACUCCAAGAAAUUGGGGCUAAUACCGGAUGUUCACCGCUUCCCGCAUGGGUGGUGGUGGAAAGGGUUUCCGGCUGGGGAUGGGCCCGCGGCCUAUCAGCUUGUUGGUGGGGUAGUGGCCUACCAAGGCGACGACGGGUAGCCGGCCUGAGAGGGUGACCGGCCACACGGGGGCAGAGAGACGGCCCCCACACGUCGGGGGGAGGGCGGUGGGGAAAAUUGCGCAAGGGGGGCGAGCUCGAGGCGGAGCGGCCGCGUGGGGGAGGGAGGGCUUCGGGUGUUAAAACCCUUUCACCAGGGAGGAGGGGCAAAUGAGGGUAUCCGCAGAAGAAAAGCCGGGCAAAUACGU